rnacentral:rRNA from 1 species
GAUUAACGCUAGCGGCAGGCAUAAUACAUGCAAGUUGAACGGCAGCACAGGUAGCAAUACUGGGUGGCGAGUGGCGCACGGGUGCGUAACACGUAUGCAACCUACCCUAUACAGGCGAAUAACCUUUAGAAAUGAGGGCUAAUACGCCGUAGUAUUACAGAUGGGCAUCUAUUUGUAAUUAAAGAUUUAUCGGUAUAGGAUGGGCAUGCGUCCCAUUAGUUAGUUGGUAAGGUAACGGCUUACCAAGACGAUGAUGGGUAGGGGAUCUGAGAGGACUUACCCCCACACUGGUACUGAGACACGGACCAGACUCCUACGGGAGGCAGCAGUAAGGAAUAUUGGGCAAUGGACGCGAGGCUGACCCAGCCAUGCCGCGUGCAGGAAGACGGCCUUAUGGGUUGUAAACUGCUUUUAUACGGGAAUAAUAGAGUGUACGCGUACAUUUAUGCAAGUAUCGUAUGAAUAAGCAUCGGCUAACUCCGUG